ensembl:lncRNA
CUUGCUGGAGAUCCCUGUGUUGCUGAGGCCUUCUGAAGGUAUCAAACAAUGAUGCUAUUGGGUCUUGUCGUGAGAUAGGAGGGGCAUCAGCAGCAAAAAUGAACUUUCGGACUUUUCUACAUUGCGGUUAAGAAAUAUUAAUGGCAGAUCAAGAUUGCUGCUGCGGUGAACGCAACAGGUGCCUGUUUCCAUUCCUUCAAAGGAAGGACUUCUUCCUUGUGACACCUGAAUCCUCAGGGAGGGCGGAUGGAAGGUAGCAUCAUCCAUGCCUUCACCAUCAGCCACUCUCCUGCCUUUAGCAUUGGACUGGCUAUAUUCUUGGGAAAAACUCUUGCUGCAUAAAUUGUAUCAGUCUGGAGACUUCCUCCUGACCUUUGAUAGCCUCCAAUACGUACGUAUAUAUUUCUAAUAAAGUAAGAUGCCCAUAUAGGCUCUUGGCUACUUAACUUGUAAUUCAUUUUUCAAUAGAACCCAGAAGCACUGAAGUAUUAAAAGGGUCCUACUUUAUCUUUCGGAUAAAUGCAAUUGUCUCCUUUUCCCUCCAGGCUGGAGGCUCAUUAAUAAUAGCAAUCAGUGCUGAGAUUUUAUGGCUCACCUUGGCUGUGCAUGAGAAACUCCCCAGUUCUUUGAAGGUCUGUGAAAACAAUGCAAAUUUGAGAACUAUUUUUCUAACAAUUAAAAAAAAAAAGCAUGACUGUUCCCCCUGCAUAACAUAUUUGAAACAGAUGCUAUCUGAUUUUCCUGGAUCACGCUGCAGUUAGGUAUCAAAAUAAUAGAAAUGAGUGAAUGUCGCUCUUUCUGCUGCUGUACCUCACAGUCAGGAGAUCAGACUCCACUAUUGCUUUUUAAUCGUGGUCUGCCAGUGCCUCUAGCUUAGGUGCUGCCAAAUGCGUUUCUUCACUUCUUAUUUAAUAAGAGCUUGCUUAAAUCGUUACCCUAAAUUUUACACUCCUGAUAAAACAGGGAAUUUUCACUAGUUUAAACGAGCUUUUGCUUUUAAUGCCUUUAGCUCUGCUUACAGUCUCACUCUCCAAUGGCUUUGAAAACGCCACGUCCCCUGUCCUCCAUCUCACCACUUCCAGUGCGUUCUGAUUGUAAUACAUCUGAUUUCCAGUGCUAAAAUGAUGCCUUUCAGUUGAUUGGCAUUCAACGCAAGAAGCGGGCGACUCAUCGCUUAGCUCCUUAAUAAGGUUCCUUCGAUGCCACAGUGCUCUUUGAUAGAUGAAGCAUUGUUCCUCUACAACAACAGGACCCAAUGUGACAGCGUUUGUCAGCUUAUGGAAUACCACGGCUACAUUUGAGAUCUCAUUCCCUAAAGAGGCACUAAGAUCUAUCUUAUGGGCAGCCAACAGCUGGAUUUAUUUUUGUUCAUAGCCUCUGCAUAUGUUUUCUGAGACAGAAUAAUAUACGGUUCUGAUUAAUCUUCUUUGUACAGUGAGGAAAGCACUUUACCUGCUGGAUGCUAUCAGGUAUAAAGAAAACCAUCUGCUCUAUUUAAAGCAUAGCAGAAUUCUUAAUUGCGAGUUAAAGAUUGUUUUGCUGUAGAAAAAUGUACUUUACAGACUUGAAUUCAGAUUUUUCCUGCAAUUGAAUUAUUUUGUUUUGCUUGUGCUUUUUGGUUUGCAGAUACUGCAUUGAUUUAAUUGUCUUCAUGUACUACAGGACAAUAAAAUAUUGCUUCUCCCUUC